rnacentral:rRNA from 1 species
AUUGAACGCUGGCGGCAGGCCUAACACAUGCAAGUCGAACGAGUGGCGGACGGGUGAGUAAUGUCUGGGAAACUGCCCGAUGGAGGGGGAUAACUACUGGAAACGGUAGCUAAUAACGCAUACCAUCAGAUGUACCCAUAUGGGAUUAGCUUGUUGGUGGGGUAACGGCUCACCUAGGCGACGAUCCCUAGCUGGUCUGAGAGGAUGACCAGCCACACUGGGACUGAGACACGGUCCAGACUCCUACGGGAGGCAGCAGUGGGGAAUAUUGCACAAUGGGCGCAAGCCUGAUGCAGCCAUGCCGCGUGUAUGAAGAAGGCCUUCGGGUUGUAAAGUACUUUCAGUCGGGAGGCGUUACCGACAGAAGAAGCACCGGCUAACUCCGUGCCAGCCGCCGCGGUAAUAC